rnacentral:rRNA from 1 species
CCUACGGGUGGCAGCAGUGAGGAAUAUUGGUCAAUGGGCUCACGCCUGAACCAGCCAAGUCGCGUGAGGGAUGACUGUCCUAUGGGUUGUAAACCUCUUUUGUCAGGGAGCAAGGCCCGCCACGUGUGGCCGGAAUGAGAGUACCUGAAGAAAAAGCAUCGGCUAACUCCGUGCCAGCAGCCGCGGUAAUACGGAGGAUGCGAGCGUUAUCCGGAUUUAUUGGGUUUAAAGGGUGCGUAGGCGGAAUGUCAAGUCAGCGGUAAAAUGUCGGGGCUCAACACCGGUCCGCCGUUGAAACUGGCGUUCUUGAGUGAGCGAGAAGUAUGCGGAAUGCGUGGUGUAGCGGUGAAAUGCAUAGAUAUCACGCAGAACUCCGAUUGCGAAGGCAGCAUACCGGCGCUCAACUGACGCUGAGGCACGAAAGCGUGGGGAUCGAACAGGAUUAGAUACCCGAGUAGUC